rnacentral:rRNA from 1 species
AGUGAACGCUGGCGGUAGGCCUAACACAUGCAAGUCGAACGGCAGCACAGUAAGAGCUUGCUAUUACGGGAGGCGACUCUUGGACGGGUGAGGAAAACAUCUGACUCUUCUUUUUCUUGUGGGCUCACGUAGGGAAACUUACGCUAAUACCCCAUACCACCUACGGGAGAAAGCAUGGGCUCUUCGGACCUUGCGCGAUUGAAUGAGCCGAUGUCGGAUUAGCCAGUUGGCGGGGUAGAGGCCCACCAAGGCGACGAUCCGUAGCUGGUCUGAGAGGAUGAUCAGCAACAAGAGAACGGUGACACGUUACAGACUCCUCAGGGAGGCAACAGUGGGAAAUAUAGGACAAUGGGCGCAAGGAUGAUGCAGCGAUCCCGCGUGGGUGAAGAAGGCGUUCGCGUUGUAAAGAGGUUUUUGUGGGGAAGAAAAGCAGCACCCUUAUACCUCGCCGUUCUGACCGUACCCAAAGAAGAAGCAACGGCUACCUUCGUG